GCCGCGAAAGGAAGUGGGGGGCCGCGCGCACGGCCUCGGCUGGGAGACCCCGGGAGGCCCGCGCGGCGAGCGGAGGCGAGCCCCGGGGCAGAGGCCUCCCGCCGGCGCAUUCCUAUGGGAUUCUUUCCUGGGCCGGCCGCCGCGGCCCUCCCCGCGGAGGGCGUGAAGCGACGUCGAACAACCUCGGCCCGGCGUGGUCGGGACUACUUUCUGCGGCUCGGCCGGGCCGCCGCCUGCUCCGCUCUUUGUGCGGGCGCCGCCGGCCGAGCCAGGUGGAGAAUUACAGACUGUCCCCAGAAGUAGGGCCGGCGAGGACUAACGAUUUUCUAAACUGGCAGAUAAAAAUCCCAAGAUAAAUGCGUCAGCACCUAAGACAGAGCAAAGGGACACUUGAGGACUUGCUAUAACGAAAAAAUCAGUGGUCAUGUCACAAGGACACUCAAGUUGCCCUAUGGAAUGGUCCUAGUGGUGAUGACCUGAGACCUUCCUGCCAACAGUCAAGUGAGCCAUCUUGGAAAUAGAUCCUCCAGGGUCAAGUCAAGCCAUCAAAUGACUAUGCUGUGGAUGACAUCUUGACAACAACAUCAUGAGAAAUUCCAUACCACCUGAUCUGCUCUUGAAUUGCUGACCUACAAAAAACUGUGAAAUAAUAAAUAUUUAUUUUGUUUUAAGCUAA